rnacentral:rRNA from 1 species
CGGGGGGGCCUCUGCUGGUGAUACUAUUCGUUGAGCUGGUGGAGGCCGCAGAGAAACGGCUCUUUCAACUGUUUAACAAAAACACAGGUCUCUGCUAAGUCGAAAGACGAUGUAUAGGGGCUGACGCCUGCCCAGUGCUGGAAGGUUAAGGGGAGAGGUUAGCGAAAGCGAAGCUUUGAACCGAAGCCCCAGUGAACGGCGGCCGUAACAAUAACGGUCCUAAGGUAGCGAAAUUCCUUGUCGGGUAAGUUCCGACCCGCACGAAUGGCGUAAUGAGAGGAGCACUGUCUCAACGAGGGACUCGGCGAACAUUGAAGUACGUGUAAAGAUGCGCGUUACCCGCAGCAGGACAAAAAGACCCCGUGAAGCUUUACUACAGCUUGGCAUUGAGUUAGGGCUUAUCUUGUGUAGGAUAGGUGUGAGGCUUUGAAGCUGGGACGCCAGUCUCGGUGGAGCCAUCGUUGAAAUACCACCCUGGCUAAGUCUUGGCUCUAACCCGCGACCGUCAUCCGGCGUAGGGACAGUGCCUGGUGGGUAGUUUGACUGGGGCGGUCGCCUCCGAAAGUGUAACAGAGGCGCCCAAAGGUUCCCUCAGGCUGAAUGGAAACCAGCCGUAGAGUGUAAAGGCACAAGGGAGCUUGACUGCAAGACAUACACGUCUCUCAGGUACGAAAGUAGGGCUUAGUGAUCCCACGGUUCCAUGUGGUAGGGCCGUGGCUUACCGGAUAAAAGCUACUCCGGGGAUAACAGGCUAGUCUUGUCCAAGAGUUCACAUCGACGACAAGGCUCGGCACCUCGAUGUCGGCUCAUCGCAUCCUGGGGCUGGAUAAGGUCCCAAGGGUUGGACUGUUCGUCCAUUAAAGCGGUACGUGAGCUGGGUUCAGACCGUCGUGAGACAGGUCGGUCUCUAUCCGCUGUGGGCGCGAGGGAUUUGAGAGGGACUGCCCCUAGUACGAGAGGACCGGGGUGGACAGACCUCUAGUGUGCCAGUUGUACCGCCAGGUGCAUCGCUGGGUAGCUACGUCUGGCAGAGAUAACCGCUGAAAGCAUCUAAGCGGGAAACUUGCCUCAAGAUUAGAUCCCUCAUCCGUUAUGGAGUAAGACCGCUAGGAGACCACUAGCUUGAUAGGCGGCAAGUGUAAGUGCAGUAAUGUACUCAGCUAAGCCGUACUAAUGGUCGAGGGCUUACGAU